UGGGGAAUAUUGGACAAUGGGGGCAACCCUGAUCCAGCCAUGCCGCGUGAGUGAUGAAGGCCCUAGGGUUGUAAAGCUCUUUUGUGCGGGAAGAUAAUGACGGUACCGCAAGAAUAAGCCCCGGCUAACUUCGUGCCAGCAGCCGCGGUAAUACGAAGGGGGCUAGCGUUGCUCGGAAUCACUGGGCGUAAAGGGUGCGUAGGCGGGUUUCUAAGUCAGAGGUGAAAGCCUGGAGCUCAAACUCCAGAACUGCCUUUGAUACUGGAAGUCUUGAGUAUGGCAGAGGUGAGUGGAACUGCGAGUGUAGAGGUGAAAUUCGUAGAUAUUCGCAAGAACACCAGUGGCGAAGGCGGCUCACUGGGCCAUUACUGACGCUGAGGCACGAAAGCGUGGGGAGCAAACAGGAUUAGAUACCCUGGUAGUCCACGCCGUAAACGAUGGAUGCCAGCCGUUAGUGGGUUUUACUCACUAGUGGCGCAGCUAACGCUUUAAGCAUUCCGCCUGGGGAGUACGGUCGCAAGAUUAAAACUCAAAUGAAUUGACGGGGUCAUAGCUGUUUCCU
rnacentral:rRNA from 1 species